rnacentral:sRNA from 19 species
AUUCAAGGGUAAUCAAUUCCUUCCACACAUCAGGAGUUAACAUUAUG